GAGUUUGAUCGUGGCUCAGGAUGAACGCUGGCGGCGUGCCUAAUACAUGCAAGUCGAGCGAACGGACGAGAAGCUUGCUUCUCUGAUGUUAGCGGCGGACGGGUGAGUAACACGUGGAUAACCUACCUAUAAGACUGGGAUAACUUCGGGAAACCGGAGCUAAUACCGGAUAAUAUUUUGAACCGCAUGGUUCAAAAGUGAAAGACGGUCUUGCUGUCACUUAUAGAUGGAUCCGCGCUGCAUUAGCUAGUUGGUAAGGUAACGGCUUACCAAGGCAACGAUGCAUAGCCGACCUGAGAGGGUGAUCGGCCACACUGGAACUGAGACACGGUCCAGACUCCUACGGGAGGCAGCAGUAGGGAAUCUUCCGCAAUGGGCGAAAGCCUGACGGAGCAACGCCGCGUGAGUGAUGAAGGUCUUCGGAUCGUAAAACUCUGUUAUUAGGGAAGAACAUAUGUGUAAGUAACUGUGCACAUCUUGACGGUACCUAAUCAGAAAGCCACGGCUAACUACGU
rnacentral:rRNA from 1 species